UACGGGGGGGGCAAGCGUUGUUCGGAAUUACUGGGCGUAAAGGGCUCGUAGGCGGCCAACUAAGUCAGACGUGAAAUCCCUCGGCUUAACCGGGGAACUGCGUCUGAUACUGGAUGGCUUGAGUUCGGGAGGAGGAUGCGGAAUUCCAGGUGUAGCGGUGAAAUGCGUAGAUAUCUGGAGGAACACCGGUGGCGAAGGCGGCGAUCCUGG
rnacentral:rRNA from 1 species